rnacentral:snRNA from 1 species
UUGCUAUUGCAAUACAAAUAUUAAAUCUGGAAACAUACACAGAAGAUUAGCAUGUCCCCUACACAUGGCUGACAGCAAAUUCAUGAGGCAUUCCAUAUUUAA